GGAUGGCUGAGGUUUAAGCGGUGGAUUGUAGUCCCAUGUACAGAGGUUUGAGUCCUCUUCUUACCAAGCU
rnacentral:tRNA from 1 species